rfam:Gossypium arboreum cultivar AKA8401 contig_20760_3, whole genome shotgun sequence.
AAUAAGAGAAUGACAAAUUAGAUUUUUCCUAUUGGUUUUUAGCUUUUUUCUCUUGAAAAAAUUUAAAUCCAACUAAAAAUGCUAAAAUUCAGGAGAAAAAAUCUAAUUUGUUAUUCUCCUAUU